rnacentral:rRNA from 1 species
GGGGGGGCUUCGGGAGGCAGCAGUGGGGAAUUUUGGACAAUGGGCGCAAGCCUGAUCCAGCAAUGCCGCGUGAGUGAAGAAGGCCUUCGGGUUGUAAAGCUCUUUUGUCAGGGAAGAAACGGUUCCGGCUAAUAUCCGGGGCUAAUGACGGUACCUGAAGAAUAAGCACCGGCUAACUACGUGCCAGCAGCCGCGGUAAUACGUAGGGUGCAAGCGUUAAUCGGAAUUACUGGGCGUAAAGCGUGCGCAGGCGGUUUUGUAAGUCUGACGUGAAAGCCCCGGGCUCAACCUGGGAAUUGCGUUGGAGACUGCAAGGCUUGAAUCUGGCAGAGGGGGGUAGAAUUCCACGUGUAGCAGUGAAAUGCGUAGAGAUGUGGAGGAACACCGAUGGCGAAGGCAGCCCCCUGGGUCAAGAUUGACGCUCAUGCACGAAAGCGUGGGGAGCAAACAGGAUUAGAUACCCUGGUAGUCCACGCCCUAAACGAUGUCUACUAGUUGUCGGGUUUUAAUUAACUUGGUAACGCAGCUAACGCGUGAAGUAGACCGCCUGGAGACUC